AUUUUCUCCUCUCAUAAUUUAUUAAUAUUAUAAAACAGUUAUUUUGUCAAUUUAGUAGUGGGUAGAUGGGGGGUCUCUUUGUUAGAGACUCUAUCAAACUUACAAAAUUUCUUUUGAAAUUCAAACAUCAAAGCAAUAUUUUCUUCAUGUAAAAGACUUGCUUUCUUUCUCAAUUUCUCAUUUUCCUCUAAAAUACUCAUAUUUUCCAUAUAAAGCUUCAAAUUUCUCAUUUCCAUAUCCACCUUAGUUUCUUUUCCUUCACCUCUUUUCUUCCUUGCAAGCCUAUGAAGUUGAACUCGAGAUAUCUUUGGUCUUUGUUUUUUCUGCAUAGAAAAAUAAAGAGGACGUGAUGAAUUAUUACUCCAUUCUGUUGAACUUAUACACAUUUUGUUUUCACUUCUUGAGGUUUUUAUUUUUCUUGUGAAGAGAAA
rnacentral:misc_RNA from 1 species